UUUUCUCCAGUCUUCACAGUGAGAACUCGGUUGGCUCUUGGAGGUAGGACUCAGGAAUGUGUGGGGAUUUCCCUAAGACCGAGGCCUCCAGAGUUUUCAUCUUUCAAGCUAGUACACACUGAACCUCCAGAAAUUCAUCAAUUACAGCUUAAAUGUUCCUUCCAGUAUUGGUUCCAGUUGCCGGCUUCCGCUUCUGGCCUUCUGCCCUAGAUAUUAUUGCAGCUGAACAAACAAAAGCAAUACGUUUUCUUGAAAAUUAUCUCCCCAAUAAGUCCUCUUACUACUUAAAAGUCAGGGGCUGUGUGCCUAAGGUUUGUUUUCAGGAUCUUUGAAGGUAGCUUGGCCCAAUCCAAACCGGGCUAGAAUGCCUGAGCCUGCAAACACCUCUACUGAGCAGGUGCAAAUGGUCAACCUUUGACGUCGGAGAGGGAGAGCUCCACCUCCAGACACGGCCAUCCUCUGAACAUGCAGAAGGCUGAGCAGGCCCUGAUCACUGAAGAACUCCUUCAAGCCCUUUAACCAGUUGUGAUCCCCAGUGCCCCACACGGCCUCUAACCACUUCCCCAUAAGUGUACCAACUUCCUCAUUGUAGGGAAGGCAGAUCUGAGAUGCUAAUCUGCCUUCUCCCAAUCUCCUGCGCCU